GUCCACGCCGUAAACGAUGCUAACUCGUUUUUGGGGCGCAAGCUUCAGAGACCAAGCGAAAGUGAUAAGUUAGCCACCUGGGGAGUACGUUCGCAAGAAUGAAACUCAAAGGAAUUGACGGGGGCCCGCACAAGCGGUGGAUUAUGUGGUUUAAUUCGAUGAUACGCGAGGAACCUUACCAAGGCUUAAAUGGGAAAUGACAGAUUUAGAAAUAGAUCCUUCUUCGGACAUUUUUCAAGGUGCUGCAUGGUUGUCGU
rnacentral:rRNA from 1 species